AACGAACGCUGGCGGCAGGCUUAACACAUGCAAGUCGAACGGACGUAGCAAUACGUUAGUGGCGCACGGGAGAGUAACACGUGGGAACCUACCUUUUAGUUCGGAAUAACGUCGGGAAACUGACGCUAAUACCGGAUACGCCCCAAGGGGGAAAGAUUUAUCGCUAAAAAGAUGGGCCCGCGCUAGAUUAGCUAGUUGGUAAGGUAAUGGCUUACCAAGGCUACGAUCUAUAGCUGGUCUGAGAGGAUGACCAGCCUCACUGGGACUGAGACACGGCCCAGACUCCUACGGGAGGCAGCAGUGGGGAAUAUUGGACAAUGGGGGCAACCCUGAUCCAGCCAUGCCGCGUGAAUGAUGAAGGCCUUCGGGUUGUAAAGUUCUUUUGGAGGGGACGAUGAUGACGGUACCCUCAGAAUAAGCUCCGGCUAACUUCGUGCCAGCAACCGCGGUAAUCUGUAGUCGU
rnacentral:rRNA from 1 species